UGACGCAGCGACGCCGCGUGGAGGAUGAAGUUCGUAAGAAUGUAAACUCCUGUUGAGAGGGAAGAAUUACUCCGUUUUCGGGGUUUGACGGUACCUCUUGAGGAAGGCCCGGCUAACUACGUGCCAGCAGCCGCGGUAAUACGUAGGGGCCAAGCGUUGUCCGGAUUUACUGGGUGUAAAGGGUCCGCAGGCGGGUCUGUAAGUCAGUGGUGAAAUUUUCCGGCUCAACCGGGAGACUGCUACUGAAACUGCAGACCUUGAGUCCAGGAGAGGGUGGUGGAAUUCAUGGUGUAGCGGUGAAAUGCGUAGAUAUCAUGAAGAACACCGGUGGCGAAGGCGGCCACCUGGCCUGGAACUGACGCUGAGGGACGAAAGCGUGGGUAGCAAACAGGAUUAGAUACCCUGGUAGUCCACGCCGUAAACGAUGGGUACUCGGUGUUGGGUCGUAUGACUCGGUGCCAAAGCUAACGCAUUAAGUACCCCACCUGGGGAGUACGAUCGCAAGGUUGAAACUCAAAGGAAUUGACGGA
rnacentral:rRNA from 1 species